UACGGAGGGUGCAAGCGUUAUCCGGAUUCACUGGGUUUAAAGGGUGCGUAGGAGGGCAGGGAAGUCAGUGGUGAAAUCUCCGAGCUUAACUCGGAAACUGCCGUUGAUACUCUCUGUCUUGAAUACCGUGGAGGUGAGCGGAAUAUGUCAUGUAGCGGUGAAAUGCUUAGAUAUGACAUAGAACACCAAUUGCGAAGGCAGCUCGCUACACGAAUAUUGACUCUGAGGCACGAAAGCGUGGGGGAUCAAACAGG
rnacentral:rRNA from 1 species